CGUAGGUGGCAAGCGUUGUCCGGAUUUAUUGGGUUUAAAGGGUGCGUAGGCGGUCUUGUAAGUCAGUGGUGAAAUACGGCAGCUUAACUGUCGGGGUGCCAUUGAUACUGCAGGACUUGAGUACAGACGGGGUAGGCGGAAUUGACGGUGUAGCGGUGAAAUGCUUUGAUAUCGUCAAGAACACCGAUAGCGAAGGCAGCUUACUAGACUGUAACUGACGCUGAUGCACGAAAGUGUGGGGAUCAAACAGGAUUAGAUACCCUGGUAGUCCACACUGUAAACGAUGAUUACUCGAUGUUGGCGAUACACAGCCAGCGUCUUAGCGAAAGCGAUAAGUAAUCCACCUGGGGAGUACGCCGGCAACGGUG
rnacentral:rRNA from 1 species